rnacentral:rRNA from 1 species
UAGGGAAUCUUCGGCAAUGGACGAAAGUCUGACCAAGCAACGCCGCGUGAGUGAAGAAGGUUUUCGGAUCGUAAAACUCUGUUGGUAGAGAAGAACGUUGGUGAGAGUGGAGAGCUCAUCAAGUGACGGUAACUACCCAGAAAGGGACGGCUAACUACGUGCCGG